GCGGAGGAAAAGAAAAUAACAAUGAUUCCCCUAGUAACGGCGAGUGAAGAGGGAAAAGCUCAAAGUUGGAACCUGGUAGGCAUAGCUUACCCGGAUUGUAAACUAAAGUUUUCGAGUCGUUUAGUCAGCCAGGUAAAUAAGUCCUCUGGAAAGGGGCGACAUAGAGGGUGAAAUCCCCGUCUUUGGCCUGAGUUUUGAUUAGGCGUUUGGCUUGGAAACGAAGAGUCAGGUUGUUUGGGAAUGCAGCCUAAAAUGGGAGGUAAAUCUCUCCUAAAGCUAAAUAUUGACGAAAGACCGAUAGCGAACAAGUACCGUGAGGGAAAGAUGAAAAGCACUUUGAAAAGAGGGUCAAAAAGUACGUGAAAUUGCUGAAAGGGAACCGUAUGAAAUCAGAUCUACUGGUAGGUAAUCAAUCUUUCCUUUGGGAAGGAUGCACUUGCCUACUAUGUAUGCCAGCGACAUUUUGGUUGGGAGGAAAAAAAUAAAGGAAAUGUAGCUUAGGUUUCGGCUUAGGUGUUAUAGUCCUUUAUAAAAUACUCUCGGCUGGAAUGAGGAACGCAGCAAACCGUAAGGCGAAGAUUUCAGGCGCUUAGAGGGAAUAAUUAGAGAAUUUCUGCUUCGGGUGGUGCUUUGAUUAUUACCUUUAACACGCUUGGAGUUCUUUUAAUUUGCUUAGGUUGUUGGCUUAAUGAUUUUAUAUGAC
rnacentral:rRNA from 1 species